UACGUAGGGUGCAAGCGUUAUCCGGAUUUAUUGGGUUUAAAGGGUGCGUAGGCGGGUUAUCAAGUCAGCGGUAAAAUCGUGGAACUCAACUCCAUCCAGCCGUUGAAACUGAUGUUCUUGAGUGGGCGAGAAGUAUGCGGAAUGCAUGGUGUAGCGGUGAAAUGCAUAGAUAUCACGCAGAACCCCGAUUGCGAAGGCAGCAUACCGGCGCCCGACUGACGCUGAGGCACGAAAGUGCGGGUAUCGAACAGG
rnacentral:rRNA from 1 species